AGAGUUUGAUCCUGGCUCAGGACGAACGCUGGCGGCGUGCCUAACACAUGCAAGUCGAACGGAGAGAUACGAGAGCUUGCUCUUGUAAAUCUUAGUGGCAAACGGGUGAGUAACGCGUAAACAACCUGCCCAACGGAUGGGGACAACAGACGGAAACGACUGCUAAUACCCAAUAGACUCCGGUUUCGCAUGAAACCGACAGGAAAGGUGGCCUCUCGAAGAAGCUACCGCCGCAGGAGGGGUUUGCGUUUGAUUAGUUAGUUGGUGGGGUAACGGCCUACCAAGACGAUGAUCAAUAGCCGGUCUGAGAGGAUGAACGGCCACACUGGAACUGAGACACGGUCCAGACUCCUACGGGAGGCAGCAGUGGGGAAUCUUCCGCAAUGGACGAAAGUCUGACGGAGCAACGCCGCGUGAGUGAAGAAGGCCUUCGGGUUGUAAAGCUCUGUUAUUCGGGAAGAACGAUUCGUUUGUGAACAAUGAACGGAAGUGACGGUACCGAAAGAGAAAGCCACGGCUAACUACGUGCCAGCAGCCGCGGUAAUACGUAGGUGGCAAGCGUUGUCCGGAAUUAUUGGGCGUAAAGAGCGCGUAGGCGGUAUGAUAAGUCUGUCUUAGAAGUGCGGGGCUUAACCCCGUGAGGGGACAGAGACUGUCAUACUAGAGUCUCGGAGAGGAAAGCGGAAUUCCUAGUGUAGCGGUGAAAUGCGUAGAGAUUAGGAAGAACACCAGUGGCGAAGGCGACUUUCUGGACGAAAACUGACGCUGAGGCGCGAAAGCGUGGGGAGCGAACAGGAUUAGAUACCCUGGUAGUCCACGCCGUAAACGAUGGGUACUAGGUGUAGGAGGUAUCGACCCCUUCUGUGCCGGAGUUAACGCAAUAAGUACCCCGCCUGGGGAGUACGGUCGCAAGAUUAAAACUCAAAGGAAUUGACGGGGGCCCGCACAAGCGGUGGAGUAUGUGGUUUAAUUCGACGCAACGCGAAGAACCUUACCAG
rnacentral:rRNA from 1 species